GCGUCAGAAGUGCAAUGGAUUAGAGCACGCGCUCCCGGAUAGAGUGAGAUACGGGUUCGACUCCCGCCUGAGGCG